rnacentral:tRNA from 1 species
GUGGCUGUAGCUCAGUGGCAGAGCACUUGCCUUGCUUGGGUAAGACUCUGGGUUCAAUCCUCAGCACCACA